AUGUGUCCGUCCGGGGCCGCGACGGCGGGGCGGAAGCGCAAAGGUGCGUCCGGUCGCCCACCCACCGGCAGCAAGCGCCGGCGGGCCCCUGAACCGGAACCGGCGCAGGAGGCCAGCGGCUGGGCCUCUCUCCCGACCGACAUCGCAGGCCUCGUCUCCGGGCGAUUGCUGGGCGAGGACGUGGUGGACUACCUCACCUUCCGCGCCGUCUGCUCGGGCUGGCGCGCCAGCACGUCCGACCUGGGCAUCCUCGCCCUGAGCAAACCGCAGCUCCGCCCGCGCGGCUGGAUCGCGCUCUGCGACGGAGACGGGGCGCCCCUGGACGGUGCCGGCGAGAUCACCUUGUUCAACACGCGCACGGCGCGGCGCCUGCGCGUCCGCCUCCCCGACCUCCGGUGCCACAGGGUCGUCGGCUUCACCGACGGCCUCGUCAUCCUGCUGCACAAGCGCACCACCGCCGUCCGCGUGGUCCACCCCUUCACCCUCGCCACGGUCCAACUCCCGCCCCUCGCCCCUGCCUUCCGCAGUGCGAUUAAGGACCGAGAAGCUCUGUUCAGCAUGAGCGCCUUCGUCUGCUCUUCACCUACGGCCCCCUUUUCAGUGGUGGCCCGUUUCCCUUGGAGACCCAUGGUGCUCUGGACACAGCCAGGCCGGCUGAGGUGGGAGGUCAUUCACCAUGGCAUGGUGGAGCUUCAGAACUUGUUGCCCUUCCAAGGCAUGCUCUUCGCGAUCACCAAGUGGAGGGAGGAGAUAGUAAUGGUGUACCCUCCACGCAAAAUCUCCAUGGCCUACUCUUCGCUAGCCGACCCGUCGAUAUGCCGCGAGUACCUCGUGGAGGUUGCCGGGCGGAUGAUGCUCGUGCUGCAGCUUGGAAACGAUGACAGGGCAUGCCCAAAGUAUGCCUUCAGGAUCUUCGAGGUGGACAUCUGGCGCCAGAAGCUGCUGCCCAUCUGCAAUCUUGGUAGCCGGGCUUUGUUUCUCAACAGUGACAGAUGCCUGUGUGUCCCGACCAUGAGCUUGCCAUCUCUCUGCAGCAAUUCGGUUUAUUUCUCUCUGCCAAGCAGCCCCGCUGUGAUGCAGUCUCUGUCGAGUGUAUUGUCCGAGGACCUAGCGGCGCUGUGCCAGAUACACGACAUGAAGGAGAAGACUCGCCCGUCUGUGCGACCUUUCACCAUUGCUCAUCAUCUUCUCACGUAUUGCAAUCAUAUGGAGUGGGCGAGGGGGCUCAUGUUUCAUGAGUACCACUAUAUACCAGACUCAUUCCAGGAACUAAAGAAGAAAAUAAAGGCACACUGUUCUCAAGUGCACAUUCCGCGUACUGGAAGUGGAACAGGAGGUUCAAAGGCAAAACGUUGCCAUAAUUAA
rnacentral:rRNA from 1 species